AAAAUAACUUUUAUAAAUUAUUGUGACACUUAAGAAUGUUAUGUACAAUGUCUCAAAGUUGCCUCAGGGGGUCCUACAGUGAGUUAAUCCCAAAGCCAUUUUGCAAAAGAUAUAUAUAUAUUUCAAAUAUAAUAUAGGUGAUUAAAAUAUGCACAGAUAAAUUUCUAGGUAAUAUAGUAAAAUAACAAAGUAUUUAGUGCCUGACAAGUAGAAUUAUAUCUUUGUUUAUUAUUAAUAUAUUUACUAAAAGCAUAGUGGAUAAAAGUGCUUUCAUUAUUAUCAAUGGGACUCUUUUAUAAAUUGCAUAAUUGGUUUAACAAACACAUUGAUGAGUUACGGCAGUCUGUGGUUUGAAACACUGUUGGGUGAAUUUCAGCAGCGUACAAGUUUUAUGGAACUUGGUUUCAAAAAUAGAAAUAUUUAAACUUCUAUGAGUAAGAAUAAUCGAAAUGAGUCCCCUCCUACUCUACUGGGUCUGCUGCCUUUUGGCUGGAGGGAAAACAGGCAGUUUUGUUCACAUCUGUAUACACAGCCAUCAGACAUAAGUCUUGUCUUUGAAAAUUACCAUGUCCUGGCAGUAGUCACCAAGGUGAAUUCAAAUGGUGUCUUAUCCAAGAGAUUCACUUGCUUGAGAGCAAGCCCUGCUCAGCCCUUGCUGUAAACAGAGGAGGAUGUUUGUUGUCAUUUGCCUCACGGGGCUCCUGAUGAUGCGUCACCAGCUACGUUUGUGUUUCAGUGAACCCACAGCUUCAGUUCCCCCUCAGUCGGACGUGUACCGAAUGCUGCACGACAAUCGGGAUGAACCAGCUGCUCCUCGCCAGUCAGGCUCCUUCAGGGUCCUGCAGGAGCUGGUGAACGACGGGUCUGAUGACCGUCCUGCUGGAACUCGAAGUGUG
rnacentral:lncRNA from 1 species